rnacentral:rRNA from 1 species
UACGUAGGGGGCAAGCGUUGUCCGGAUUUAUUGGGCGUAAAGAGCUCGUAGGUGGUUCGGUAAGUCGGGUGUGAAAUCUCCAGGCUCAACCUGGAGGGGUCAUUCGAUACUGCCGUGACUAGAGUUCGGUAGGGGAGUGUGGAAUUCCUGGUGGAGCGGUGAAAUGCGCAGAUAUCAGGAGGAACACCCGUAGCGAAGGCGGCACUCUGGGCCGAUACUGACACUGAGGAGCGAAAGCGUGGGGAGCGAACAGG